rnacentral:rRNA from 1 species
UACGUAGGGAGCAAGCGUUGUUCGGAUUUAUCUGGGCGUAAAGGGGCGCGUAGGCGGCAGAUCAAGUCAGGUUGUGAAAUCUCCGAGCUUAACUCGGAACGGUCAACUGAUACUGUUUGCUAGAGUACAGAAGGGGCAAUCGGGAAUUCUUGGAUGUAGCGGUGAAAUGACGUAGAUAUCGUAAGGAAGACCAGUGGCGAAGGCGAGUCUC